GAUAUAACAUGCAGAGAAGAAACUACCAGUGUAAGGGGAUUACUACAGACAAUGCAGGAUUCAUCAAUUACAUUAUUUGAUGAUGAAAUAGAAAUCACUUUAGAACCACUUGUGGCAGACACAGUUUGUCCAGAGAAUGAUGAUGAUGAAACACAAACAGAGGGAAUAACUCAAACACAACUUGACACCACAAGUUGAAGAAUCAGAAUGUGAGGAAGAGAUUGAGGAUGCACAACAAUGUCAAAUAGAUCAACCAGAGAGACCUAAUGAAGUUGAACGAUUGACAGAUAUGGCAUUGUCUUUUUGAAAUAAACAGAAUGAUUUUUUUAAGGAAAGGGUUGACUUACAAAAAGAAAGAAAUAAUUUACUUAAAGAACAGUUAAAUGUUCAAAAGGAGUAUUAUCAGAAAAAGUUAGAGUUCAUGAAUAGGCGACAUACAGAUUUAUAAUUAUAUUGUUCAUUAUACCUUCAAGUUAUGGGGUAUAAACAA